GGUGUUUCGUCAGGGAGAAAGCUUGAAAUAAACAGAGAGAGCCCCCCAUCCCCACCCCGACUGCACCAUAUCUGAUAAUGCCCGGUCGUGCUGAAGGCCAGGAGCACUCCAGAGCCACAAUAUGGGGUGACGCUCACACCUGCCUUCACUAUCUGAUUUGCAGUGAACCAGGAGGGGACUGAGGUUAUGGAGUAAUGGGACAUUUUCCAUGUACAAGUGCACAAGAUGAAACAUACCCUUGCCUCCUGUUUUACCCACACAAUCCCAUUGUUACCUGCCUCUCUACAUGCUUUCAAAAUAAGGACAACUGCGGAGCAUGAACUUGGUGAAUCACUACUCCAGUCAUAUGACUGCAUCAUACAAACCCUGCAUGCUCCACUCCUUCUUUCCCAUCUCCUGUCUCUCUCCAACUCCAUCCAGAGUCACGGGGGCCCAGAAGCUACAACACAGAUAAGGGGAGCUCCACCUUCAACACCUGUUCAAGCCCAGUCAUAUCCCCAAAGCAGCUCUGCACCUAAAUUCUCUCCUUGUCAAUCUCACCUCAGCUUCCUUCCUCUUCCUCUUCACCCUCUAGAUAUCUUUAACACCUGCCCCACCCCUCUCCCAACUGGGAAACUCCACUGCAUUCUUAGAAUCCUAAUCAUGGCAUCCCAAGAGUUUUUCCUGCAUUCUCUGCCCUUAAAGGGUCCAGGCCGCUCAGGCCCAGCGAUCUGGACUCUCACCUGCUUCAGGAGCUAGAGGCUAUGCUGAGCCGGCCCCAAACCCAAGCCUAUAGAACAAAUCUGGGUCUCCUGUCUGCGUGUUGGUCUUCCUUCUCCUCCGGUGCUCAAGGACAGUCACAGGUGUGGGGACCAGAUCUCCAACCCCUUGGAGCACUGCUGUCAUGAUGACACCAUCCUGCCCCUGAAUUGGACCAACCUCUGUGGCCCCAGCUGCAUCUUCUGGCCCUGCUUUGAGCUCUGCUGUCCUGAUUCCUUUGAGGAGGAAGGUUCUGGGUAUAAAUGUUCAAUGCUAUUCCUUCCCCAUGUCUGGGGACUGUGAAAGCAGAAAGAUGUUUUCUCCUUGGGAAAGAUUCUAAAGAAAAUAAAUCCCCACUAUGGCGGCUCAGAAAGGAAGGCUGGGGCAGGCCUCAGAGUCUGCGCCGUGAAGACCCUGAGCUGACACCUUUGAGAGACCUUGUCUGCUUGCCAAGGGAUGUUCUCAGCAGGCCCCAUUUUAUGGUCUGCCCAUUGCCUCAGUCAUUGCUCCUUGGCCUCCUGUCUUUCCACCUCAUUCUGCACCCUUGCUGGUAUGCAUUAGCCCAUCACCUUGGGGAGGUGCCCUGUAUCAGAGGUACCCUUGAUUCUUGACUUGCUCUAUGAAACCCCUUUUCCGAUUAAGUAUCCACGGGCUUCUGUUGCAAAGAUAAUAUGUUCUUCAGACUCUAACUCAUCCAGAGAAGAUCUUCUAGCAGUUACCGGACUUGUUUGUACUCCUGUAUGGCCUCCCUAACUUAAGAGAGAUGACAGAUGGCAGUAGGCCCUGUGGGGCAACACCUAGUUGCUGAGUUCAUUACUGCUUCAAGUUACUAAUGACUUGUCGGUAUUUGCUUUAUACAUCUGGGUGCUCUGGUGUUAGGUGCACAGCUAUUCACGACAGUUCUAUAUUCUUGAUGAACUGACUCUUAUCCUUAUAGUAUGACCUUCUUUGUCUCUUGUUAGUUUUGGGGGGAUUUGGGGGACUUUUUGGUCUCUUCUACAGUUGACUUAAAGUCAAAAUAGUCUGAUAUAAGUAUAGCCACCCCUGCUCUCUGUCAGCUUCAUUUGCGUGAAAUUAUCUAUUUCAGGGGCACCUGGGUGGCUCAGUCAACCGAGUGUCUGACUCCUGUUCUAGAUUGGGUCAUGAUCUCAGGGUCAUGAGGUUGAGCCCCGCAUUGGGCUCCACGCUAAGCAUGGAGUCUGCUUGAGAUUCUCUCUCUCCUUCUGCCCCCUCCCCUCACUCAUCCUCAUGGACUUUCUCCCUCAAAAUAAAAUAAUAAUAAAAAAUUAUCUUUUUA